rnacentral:rRNA from 1 species
UUUUUGAUUAAUAAUAUAAAGUCUAACCUGCCCACUGAAAAUUUGAAGGGCCGCAGUAUAUUGACUGUGCAAAGGUAGCAUAAUCAUUUGCCUCCUAAUUAGAGGCUGGAAUGAAUGGUUGAACGAGGUAUAAACUGUCUCAUUCUUAAAAAUUACGAAUUUAGCCUUUCAGUCAAAAGGCUGAAAUUUUAUUAGAGGACGAGAAGACCCUAUAGAACUUUAUAAUUUUUUUUUAGAUAUUUUUGGAAUAAUAAAUAAUUUUAGAAGAUUUUUUAUUUUGUUGGGGUGACAGGAAGAUAAACAUAACUCUUUCAAUAUGACGAACAUUGAUUUAUGAUUGUUUGAUCCAUUUUUAGUGAUUAUUAGAAUAAGUUACCUUAGGGAUAACAGCGUAAUUUUGUUGGAGAGUUCAUAUCGAUAACAAAGUUUGCGACCUCGAUGUUGAAUUAAAGAAGUUUUGAAAUGCAGAAGUUUCAAAAAAUAGGUCUGUUCGACCUUUAAAUCUUU